rnacentral:rRNA from 1 species
UGGGGAAUAUUGCACAAUGGGCGCAAGCCUGAUGCAGCAACGCCGCGUGAGGGAUGACGGCCUUCGGGUUGUAAACCUCUUUUAGUAGGGAAGAAGCGAAAGUGACGGUACCUGCAGAAAAAGCACCGGCUAACUACGUGCCAGCAGCCGCGGUAAUACGUAGGGUGCGAGCGUUGUCCGGAAUUAUUGGGCGUAAAGAGCUCGUAGGCGGUCUGUCGCGUCUGCUGUGAAAACCCGAGGCUCAACCUCGGGCCUGCAGUGGGUACGGGCAGACUAGAGUGCGGUAGGGGAGAAUGGAAUUCCUGGUGUAGCGGUGGAAUGCGCAGAUAUCAGGAGGAACACCGAUGGCGAAGGCAGUUCUCUGGGCCGUAACUGACGCUGAGGAGCGAAAGCGUGGGGAGCGAACAGGAUUAGAUACCCUGGUAGUCCACGCCGUAAACGUUGGGCGCUAGAUGUGGGGACCAUUCCACGGUCUCCGUGUCGCAGCUAACGCAUUAAGCGCCCGCCUGGGGAGUACGGCCGCAAGGCUAAAACUCAAAGGAAUUGACGGGGUCAUAGCUG